GUUUUCUAAGUCAAGUCAAAAUCAGUUUUAUUAGUAACGUUUCUCGUUUCCGUUCAGCUUUAUCUGCUUGCAAACUAUGGAGAGUGAUCUAAAAUUACCUCAACGAGAUAUCAAUGUGAGAUUAGACGAGAAAAAGCACAUUCCUCCAGAAAUUGAAAAGCUUCUGCACGAAAUAUUUUAUAAAGUACUGCAUGAUCAGCCUGCGAAUAUUGUGCCUUUUGUUGCAAAAAUGUUGGAAGAAAAAGUCGCUGAAAGAGAUGCAAAAGCGGAAACGAACCAAAAUUAAUAUUUUAUUGAGCAUUUCUAUUGUUUAGUUAUGUUUUGAACCAGUGUUAAAUGGACGGGAUAUCGUUUUAUAAAAAUAUUAAAAUUUUGUUUAAACUGUCCAAUUUA